rnacentral:tRNA from 1 species
UGUCCGAUGGUGUAAUGGUAACACUGCAGAUUUUGGUUCUGCCUUUCAAGGUUCGAAUCCUUGUCGGACAA